AUGAACCAGCCUGCCCCCAGGGCACCCCCUCCGCCCCGCCGCGUGCGAUUAAAGCCCUGGCUGGUGGCCCAGGUGAACAGCUGCCAGUACCCAGGGCUGCAGUGGGUCAAUGCGGAAAGGAAAUUCUUCUGCAUCCCCUGGCGCCAUGCCACGCGGCACAGCCCCAGCCAGGAUGGAGACAAUACCAUCUUCAAGGCCUGGGCCAAGGAGACAGGAAAGUACACGGAGGGGGUGGACGAGGCGGACCCGGCUAAGUGGAAGGACAACCUGCGCUGUGCCCUUAACAAGAGCCGUGACUUCCGCCUCAUCUAUGAUGGACCCCGGGACAUGCCGCCUCAGCCCUACAAGAUCUACGAGGUCUGCUCUAAUGGCUCCGCUCCCGCAGAGUCGCAGCCCCGUGAGGACUACACUUUUGGUGCAGGAGAGGAGGAGGAGGAGUUAGAGGAAAACAGGAGCACGUUACCUAGCCUGAGCAUCACAGAAGCAGGGCAACCUGGCCCCCCCAUGGCACCCUAUUCUCUACCCAAAGAGGAUGUCAAGUGGCCGCCCACUCUCCAGCAGCCUGUGGUGCUGGGCGCUCCUGCCCCAGACCCCAACCUCCUGGGCCCCGCCCCCGGCAACCCUGCUGGCUUUGGGGAGCUUCUCCUUGAGGUCCUGCUGAGCCUGCAGCCCGGGCCCCCGGCUGCCAGCCUGCCCCCCCUACGGGCGAACAACUCCUGCCCGACCUGCUGAUCAGCCCCCACAUGCUGCCUCUGACUGACCUGGAGAUCAAGUUCCAGUACCGGGGGCGGCCACCCCAGGCCCUCACCAUCAGCAACCCACAGGGCUGCCGGCUCUUCUACAGUCAGCUUGAGGCCACCCAGGAGCAGGUAGAGCUCUUCGGCCCUGUGAGCCUGGAGCAAGUGCGCUUCCCCAGCCCUGAGGACAUCCCCAGCAACAAGCAGCGCUUCUACACAAACCAGCUGCUGGAUGUCCUCGACCACGGGCUCAUACUCCAGCUGCAAGGCCAAGAUCUGUAUGCCAUCCACCUGCGCCAGUGCAAGGUGUUCUGGAGCGGGCCCUGCGCCUCAGCUCACAGCUCACACCCCGACCCCAUCCAGUGGGAGGUCAAAACCAAGCUCUUCAGCCUGGAGCAUUUUCUCAGUGAGCUCAUCCUGUUCCAGAAGGGCCAGACUAACACCCCACCGCCAUUUGAGAUCUUCUUCUGCUUUGGGGAGGAAUGGCCUGACCGCAAACCCCGAGAGAAGAAGCUCAUCACUGUACAGGUGGUGCCUGUAGCAGCUCGGCUGUUGCUGGAAAUGUUCUCAGGGGAGCUUUCUUGGUCAGCUGAUAGUAUCCGGCUACAGAUCUCAAGCCCAGACCUCAAAGACCGCAUGGUGGAGCAGUUCAAGGAGCUCCAUCACAUCUGGCAGUCCCAGCAGCAGUUGCAGCCUAUGGCCCAGGCCCCUCCUAUGGGAGGGGCCAGCCUCAGUGCUGGCCAGGGGGCCUGGCCCACGCACCCGGCUGGCAUGCAACAAUGA